AACUCAUUUGUUUAAUGAUUAAGCACUACAACCAUUGCUUUUGUAGCAUUAUAUUGGAUUCUGACAUAUUCUAACAAACUUUUAACCUUUAGGUAACAUAACCUACAUAUUUAGUUGUUAAUCAAAUCUUACCUGUACUCUGUGCCAUUUUACUGUAUGUUCACCUUGACAUUUAUAAACCAAAAGUAAAAAGGUGCUUGAGUUGACAGUGAAAGGAGCAGUUGUAAAUACUCACCAACGCCCCUCUGUGUAUAAACAAAAUAUUACAUAUGAAAACAAGUUCACUUUUUAUGUACAGGAAAUGUGAAGAGGAGUCCAACUUUCCUGAACCACAACGUCCUCCAGUUGGCGGGCGAGCAGUGAUGGCCAGUCACUACCCAUCUUCUCCUGGCUUCCAGCUCAACUCCUCCCACUUACUCCAGAGCCAACAAGAGGCCCUUUCUGCUGCCUCCCCCAACCUGCAAGCAGCUAUCUUCCUCAUCUUUCCUGCCAUUCCCAGGGCUGUUAACAUCGUCCACACAGACUGUGCCGGGAAACCCCUGCAGCCAACCUCAACUGGAAAUAGCCAAGUCUGCCACCCUUUGUCCCUGCAUUAUUGGAGUAGGUCCUUGUUCUUGGUAGCCUUCCUCUCCGAGGCCUCAUCACAACUGUCUUCCCACGGUACCGUUGGUUCAAUCAGGAUAAUUCUCUUCACCUCCUCAGACCAUAUGGCCACAUCAGGCCUCAGGGAUGUCUGGAAGACCUGGGAAAAUUGUAGUUUCCUACCCAGGUCCACCUUCAUCUCCCAUGAUUGUGCUGCCUGCAGGAGGCUCUUUUUGGAGGAGGGUGGCUUCUCCCCCUCCCUGAUAAACUGGAUAUAUGAGGCUGGUCUCACAUGGGUCUGGCGCCUUUUCCGUCUCUCCUGCUCCAAGAUAUCAGCCAGUGUCGUGGUGCCAUCAAUAUCUCCCCUGGCUAAGUACAGUCUUGAACCCCACCAGUAUGUGCGCCAAUGUGCCUCUCCCUUCACAUAAACUGCACAGUGAGUCCUCCCUCAUUCCCCACCUGUGCAGGUCCUUAGUCCAAGCUCCUUGUGAUCCAAGUUCCAUGGCCUUUGACAGUCGCCUUUCUUCCUUCAGGUGUUGGACCUUGGCUUGGUCCAUAUCUCUCCUCAGCCUUGGGUCUGAUUUCUGAUUCAUUGUGUUAAAAUGCUGCAUUAAAAUGAUGUAAAUCUAUUUUAAUGUUACAGAAUGUGGACACAGACUGAAUGAAGAUGAAAAUAGGAGUUUAUUGACAUUUCUGAAAGAAGGAAGGUAAUGGCCGGUGCAGGAGAUCGUGGAUGGUGGCGCAUAUGGGGAGUGAGCACACCUCGUCGUGGGGUAAGUAUCCACGUAAUCCUGACUACACAACACAGGGAACAUGAGAAUGGGAAGACACUUUGGAGGGAAUCGCAGGAGAUAUUCAUUGGAGUGCAAGAACACAAAAUAGCAGUCCACUUUGAAUAAACAUGACUGGACACUGAGGUGAGACAUUUGAAUCUGACCUUAAUUUAAUAAAAGCAAACAGGAAUUAAUUCAAAAUUAAUUGUUUUAAAUAUUUUUUAUCUUUUGACACUAAUUAUAUGUAACCCUGGACCACAUAAGGGUUACAUAUAAUUAGUGUCAUAAGGGUCUUUUUUUUUUUAAAUUGAGAUUUAUACAUAAUCUAAAAGCUGAAUAAAUAAAUUUUCCAUUGAUGUAUG